AGCAUGCAUGACUCCUCGCACGCCAUUCGCUAAGGCCACCACUUCACUGAUGGGCUAUGCAAAUGGCAUACAGGGAGCCAGGCACUCC
rnacentral:pre_miRNA from 1 species